CCCAACUAUCCCUAUUAAUCAUUACGUCAAUCCUAGAAACCAACAAAAUAGGAUCAACGUCCUAUUUCAUUAUUCCAUGCUAAUGUAUUCAAGCGCGAGCCUGCUUUAAACACUCUAAUUUUUUCAAAGUAACAGUCCUGAUUCCCCACCACACCAAAUUAAUGACAUGAUGGUUCGUCAGAAGGUAGAAAUCAGUAACACCAGUACGUACCGAAGGCACGACCAGCGUACUAAUCCCGAAAUUCAACUACGAGCUUUUUAACUGCAACAACUUUAAUAUACGCUAUUGGAGCUGGAAUUACCGCGGCUGCUGGCACCAGACUUGCCCUCCAA
rnacentral:misc_RNA from 2 species